AGAAGAAACAUGAAUGGAAAUUAUGCUUAUUCCUUUGUGGUAUUGGCUAUAGAGGCACUUCAAGAAGAACCAGCAGUAGGAAUAAAAGAACUUUUAUAAUAAAUCCCCAGAUUCCAUAUCACGUUUUCACCUUUUGUCUCUUAACACUCUGGGCUCUUAGAACUCUGGGCUAAAUUUGCUAGAAAUGACUGUCAGUUUCUGUUAAAGAUUCUGCUUUUAACAAAUACUUUUUUUAGGGAUUGAUCUAUUACAAAUAAUUCUUUACAAAGGAAUUACCUGUGGUCUUUAUCAGUGAAAAAUACGAAGUCUUAGAGUAUGUCUAUACUGUACAUGCAUCUGUGUCAUCAGCAAGCUGUUCUGGAGAGAAUGAAUCAAUGUAUAAAUGUAAGAGCAGAUGCUAUUUGAAUCAAAUGGACUAUUUUAUAUGUGGGGUCUUGGGGUGGUGUGUGAGAACUGCUGAGUCAUGGCCUGAAGCAUUGAUUGAGCACCUGGAGGAAAGACCCAGUCAGCCCUGGGAGCACAGGUGAAGGCAAUUCACCUGUGUGACCAGAAGGGGGUGGAGCCUGGCUCCGCCCCUCUUAGGCCUCAUCUAAUAGCUGACUGCCACUGAGGAAGGAUCACUUUCUGGAGAUCCCCACUUGGUGGAUGUUUUUCCCUGUGAGCCCAGAAUUUUCUGAUAUGGGUGAGUGAUUUACUUCCCUUCCUUUGUAUCACUUUGCUAUUGUGCUGAUCCUUCCACGUCUUUUGUAAUGCCUUUUCUGUCUGUUGGGCCUGAUUGCUACAUGUGGUUUUGUUAAUUGUUUUUGUUUGUUUGUUUUUGACAAUACAGUGGUUUGACCAGUAAUAGAAAUACUCAGAAUAGAAAUGCCAACUGGGCAUACCUGAAGAAGGGGUGUAACCAUGCCCUCAUUAAUAACCCACCACACAUUUAAAACUCUACCAUAUUUUAUAGUGUACCCCAAGGACAUGGUUAUGAUUGCUUGGACCAAAAAUAAAAGUGUAAAGAGGGAGUAUUACAUUCCAAGAAAUGGAGGCAUCUUGGCCAUCAACUCCAAGCUGACAAGUAAGUGUCAUGAUAAAAAAUAUCUAAUUUGUUUUGAAGAUUAACCAGUUCAGUGUUCUAGAGUGGAAGGAAACUGUGGGUGUCACAAUCCAUUGCCUAGAGCAGGUUCAGCUAGGUCUUAGCUGAUUUUGAUUCAGAUCCUUCCAGUUCAUGGCAGCUACUGUUGAAUUCCAUUGGGGUUUCAAGUCUGGUAGAUAAACAUGUUCUGGUUUUUGUUUAAACUAUAGUUUUAAUCUUAUAAAU
rnacentral:lncRNA from 1 species